rnacentral:lncRNA from 1 species
CUGGUCGGAGUUCAAGAUAACAUUAGCAGCCGCGCGUGCAUGGAUAGCCAGGUGUGGUGUCUUCUUUUUUAUUGGGCUCUCCAUCAAGAGAGAGGAGUCUAGUGUUUCAGUCUCGCUUAAUUGUUCAUACUAGCGGAAAAGAGGCAAGAAUGCAAGAUAGUUUAGAAGGAGAUGGGUACAAAAAAAAUCUGAUUUAGUUCUAGUUCAUUCAGUUUUGUGUUAGACCAAAAUAUUGGAUGCAGUUGAAUGAAUGAGUUUCACAUUGAUACUUUGCUGCAGUUCAUCAUAAUUCCAUUGGUCUGAUCUCCUGCUGGUCCAGCUGGAUCAUAAAAAUGAAACUAGAGGGCUCAAAUUCCGUAUUCCUUUUUUCUAAUAUCGACCGUACCAAUAAGUUCCAAAUGACCUGUCUGAAUUUUUGUAUUCUAUUAUUUUACUGAAGCUAAGUUCAACAUCGAAUCUAAAGAAUCUUGAAAGAACACCCCUUGAAUAUCAUGAGCUCUCGGAGCACCCAAGUUCAGGUGCUCUAGCGCAAGCUCGGCCUUUGAAUGUAGAUCGAACGAUCAGAUGAGGAGUUACUGGAACUAUGUGUAAUUACGGGACUCCUUGGGGGUUGUCUGCAAAUUCAUGUGAGCUCUCCCUACCACCAUGGGAUGUGGAUCCAACGGCCGAGCUUCUUCUGUAGCACCUGAACUUAGGUGCUCUGAGAGCAUAGGAUAUUUCCCCCUAAGACCAGGCUUGAUUGGCGCGUCAGAAGAAAAACGCCCUUACAUUAUUUAAGAUCAAGUGAAUUCCGCACUUAUGUUCGAAAGAUGCGGCUUGUUGCAUUAUACGCGGCUUGGGGGAAUGUCGAUGAUGUGGCAUCCAACUCAGCAAUCCGCGUAAGAUUGACUGUUUGCCCCACCCAAUAGAACAUGGGUAAACCUUAAUAAAGGGGUAAAAAAAUGGAACAAACUUCUGUAAAUAGGAUAUUCUGAAAGAAUUUUUCUUGAAUAGUUCAAAUGUGUCACAAACUCAAUCUUAUAGUGUAAAAGUGGAAUUUGCUCUUGAAUAUUUUGGAAUUUGCUCUUUAGAAUUAUUACCUAGUUUGACUAAUUAGUAUUUGCCUAUAAUUUAUUUCCAAUUUAUAUCUACUUAUUAAUACAGGAUUUAGAAAAUAAGUUUCAAUUUUGCAGUUCAAUUAUGAUAAAUCGGCCUAUUUGAUUAUGCGGCAGUAGCCAUGCACACAAAGCUAUGAUGUUAUUUUUUCCGCAAAUGGUAGAGGUCAUAUAUUAACUAAGUCAGAGGCUCAAGAACACUGCUGACAAAAAUAAGAUGGCAAACAUACCAAAGGUGUACAUCACCGCCUCCAUGUUGAUGUCAUGUUUUGAGAGUAGCUCGAUGGCGCGCUUGCUCUGCACCGUAAUUAGAGAGUCAUUGUAACUAUGAUUGUGAAGUCACUGGAUGUUGCCAGGAGAUGCCCAACGAUGAUCCGAAGCACAAAAAUUUGGCCUAAAGAAGAAGGCGAAGACCAGACGGCGAGAUCCAACCCCAUGUGGACGCCCAAAGCGCCGUUGUAGAAUCUUAGGUACGAGAGCAUGAUGUUCUCGCAAGCCAAAGCAAAAGCGCUGUGCUUGACGACUCUCCACCACACCCCGACGGAUUAGAUACGGGCGAACUAACCCUCAUGCGUCCCACGACAACGGUGAAAGCAUCGCCACCGCGAUGAGGACAAGACUAUACUUAUUCUAUCGUAUAGUCGUCUCUACUGCUCAAAACGACACGAGGAUGCCAAAACCUAACAAACUAGACUAAGAUUCCCUGCAAGCGCAACCAUGCGUCUCUCCCGCCUCUCGGCAUAGAAACUAACCGCUAGAGGCAAGGGAAAGACCGACAAAAUUAGUCGGCGAUAAUUAGGGUUAUGCGGCAUCCAGUUGUUUUCCUUCAGCUUACCGAAGUUGUAGCGUGGAUUUUAGAAACUCUCAGGGGCACACAGGUGCGGGAGCACACAACUGCCUAUGCGUGUUUGGCUUUCCGAUUGCUUUAAUACUCGUAAACUUGUUUAAUCUUAGGAAUUUGAUUACUGUAGGCUCAGUUCCAUCCAUGCAUGCUUUUGACAUCUUUUGCCAGCGAUGCAUGCGCCAUUCAUCCCAUCUCUCAUGCCUUUUUCAUUUCAUCUUUUAAUUUCAAUCUACUAUAUUUUUGAAGUGAAAGUCCAAAUUAAGUUUUGUUUGCAUAUUUGUGUUCGUCAUGACGAGAACUUUCGAACAAGACCCGUCUUGAAUACAUUGUGACAACAUUAAAAAAAUUCUAAGUUCAAAAAAAAUAAACUUGAUAAUCGUACCAUUAAGUUUUACCAAGUUUCAAAUGCUUUAUGGCUUUAGGGUUCUGGGCUUAGGGCUUUAGGGCUUAGUUUUAGAAAAUUCCCAAAUUUAUCAUCGUUUCUAUCAAGUUUUAGUAUUUGAAACUUUUCCGGCAGCCCGAUUUGCCUCGGGAUCCAGAAAGUCGAUGGAUAUAGCAUGAGGGCACACCAAGUUUUAAGUUUCAGUUUCUGAAACUUGCAAUUUUGUCAUUCGCUCACAUCAAGUUUUAGCGGAUGAAACUUAACGACGUUUUAAAACUCGUCAAGACUUGUUCAAAAUGGAUCUUAUUUGAAUGCCCUCAUCACAAGAAACACGAAUAUGCAAACAAAAUAUAAUUAAGUUGGACUUUUGGUAUGAAAGAUAUAAUAGAUUCAAAUUUGAAAGGCGAAAGAAAAGACAUGGGAUGUGGGAUGGGUGGAGCUACCAAAAGCUGCAAGAGGUGCACCCAUAGACCCCAUCUAAGAUAAUUAGGGGUUAAAACACAUGCAAAGACCAAACCGGUUUUUUAAUCACGAGGCUAUUGGGCAGCCGCAAAUGUGCGUGCCCCCGACCUUGGUGCUAUAAAUCCUCUCCUGCAUGGAUUUGAAAUACAACUGUGAUGUCAUUGAUAUUACACCUAUCUAAAAAACUUAUGAUUUGGUUUUUCAUCUAAAAAUCAUACAAUCACAAGUAGUCUGGAUAGAUUUUGGGUCGUAGGGUCGUGCAUCUAGCACUUGCAGUGCAUGGGUAGAGGUAUCACUAGUACUCCCUCUGUUUUUAUUUAUUCUGCAUAUUAGUUUUGAUUGAUAUAAAUAUUUACCAUAACAAAUCCAUAUAACGUGAAAGUGCAUUCAAUGAUGAAUUUAAAGGUAUUGAUUUGUUAUUGUAUAAUGUUAAUAUUUUUGUUUAUAAACUUUGUCAAAGUUUACAAAGCUUGACUUUGAUCGAAGCUAAUACACGGACUGAAUAAAAACGGAGGGAGUACAAGUUUUAGUGCAGCAGCAGUCUGUUUCGUGCAUAGUUAUUCCAAAAGGAGGUGUGGUGGUCAUGUGCCGGCACCUCAAAGAGACUGUUCUUUGGUUAGUACUUUAGUUUUGAAAAUAUCUCGCAUGGUCUACUCAAUUCAGCUGGAAAAAAGUUGAAGCAAACAGAAUGGUGCUCGUGAUGACAAGAACACGGACCAAAGAACACCAAAAUGAGAAGACACUUCAGAUAUGGAGCAAGAUUAAGCCGCCACGGGACUGGCUAACAGUGUCUUAGUAAGGUGGCCUUUUCCCGCUGACCUUUGCGAUUAGUCAGUUUCAAUGUUCCAUCCAUAAACUGAUUUAGCGGCAAUAAUAUUUAGCCCCACUAACAUAUUUGACCCGCCUCAAUAAUUAAAUACAAUAAAUCAUAUGUACUUUUAAUUUCAAUUCUCAUAUUAUUCAUCCAAAUAUUUAUGUUCAAAUAAUUAAAUAUUAUCAAAGUGGAGUAUAUUGCAACCAAUACCAGAUGAAACACGCGAGGUAUCAUCUAGUAGUGAUAAAGCUCUGAUCACUAAAGCAUUAGGGGGGAAAGAUGAUCCAGUCAUGGGGCUCUCAAAGAUUACACUCCGUCUUUCAUCGCAUUUACUAUUUGUCACGUACGUGAAAAUACAUUAUGUACCACUUGAUUUGAGCGUUAGCGUCGAGCCCGAAGUCGGUGUUGCCCCGGCGAGCCUAGCGAGACGCGUAGACGACAAGGGCUCCAACGGGAACAACACGACAACAGUGUCCGAGGUAGAAGAGACUCGGAAGUUGACUGGUUCAAAUGCGGGGAGGUUGCCGGCGCUCGAGAAGAACGUGAGGUAGGGAGGAUUGGGGGAGGGCUUAGAGGGAUAGCCUGGGCGGCGACAACACACAGUGAACAACGAUUCAGGGGAGAGCAGGAGCAAUGAGGCGAGCACAAUAGCGCCGCCGGCCACGGCGGUAGCAAGCAGUUAGGCCCUCAUCGAUUGACGAUGCAAAAAUGAAAAGAACGAAGGAAGAAGAAAACCAGUGUGUGGGUGAGGGUGAUUGUCGGAUGAAGAUCCAACUGGCUUUUUCAGCUAUCUAACAAAUAGGCCGCCCAAUGUUCAUCCUCCCAAACAUAGAGAAACAGAUCAACAAAUCUUUUAUUCAAUACAAUUAAUAUUUUAAACGCUCUUAUAUUUUUUUACAAAGAGAAUAUAGUAUAAUUACUCAACUAGCACAAGGGUGGUAUACAUACAUAAAUUUGUUUCUCGAUGCCGGCAUAUAUACCCCACGGCUGUAUUUGACCGGUUGCAGUUGCAGGAUCAUUUCAACCAUUCAUCUAGCCCCUGAACUUUGACAGCGUCCUUACAAACUUACCAAGUGGUGGCGCGAAAGCCCCCGCGUCGAUGACGAACUGAACGAGCUCCACGGACCACGGCAGGUCCAGAUAAAGAUCGCACGAGAUCUACGGCCGUGCCUUUACAGAAAGCGAGGAUCCCGCGCGUGCGCGCGUGGGUCCGCGCGGGGCUCAUUCCGCCGGGAGCCGGUGCGCGCGCUAUUGCGUAGAGCACAAUGGCGCGAGUAGAGUUGACCGGGAGCGAGCGAGCGCUGGUGCGAGGUCGGCCAGUAGAGGGGCUUGGCCAGGUCAGGUGGAGGCGCGUCGCCGUCGUCGAAAGCUACGGGACUUCGCUUCGAGAAUGCUACCGGGUUUGGCUGGGGCUGCGUCGACCUAACCUCGCGCGCGCGGACCGAUUUGUGGCUGCCGAUUUGGCUCGGCGCCAGUAGUUUACUACUAGGUGUGUGGAACUGCUGUUACUGAGCUGGUAACGUGUGGCUUGAGUUUUGCCGAUCGAUUGUGUCUGUCUGUCUUAUCUGAUCGAUCGCCGACUUACCUAGUUACGCGAGUGUUCUUUCAUAGUACUAAUAGUACGUUGCUUGCUUGGUUUACCUGGAUUCGUUGCUACGGUUUUGGCCACACGCUUUGAAUGGACCUCUCUCACACAGUGUUUCCCACUUAUGACUUCUCUUACACAAUGUUUCAUACUCCACAUGAAGGCAUCAUCUUCAUCCUCCGUCGAUGCAACACUCUUUAGUGUGGCAGGAAAAAAAUGGCGGGAGAGAAUGGCGACAAAGAAAAUGGCGGAAAAGGAAAUGGAGGGAAAAAGAUUGCGGGAAAGUAUUUUUUUUUCAUGUAUAAACGGCAAUGGUUGUAUUAUAAGGCACUUUUAAAUAUAAACUCCUAUGAAGCUCAAAACAAGUUUUCUAGUAGGAUAAAAGAAAUAAAAUACAUAAAAAAAGUACAAAUAAAAUAGCUACGGAUAACUAAACAGAAACAAAAAGAAUAUGUCAAAAAAACUAAAGAAAACAAUUUAAAGCAAUUAAAAUUAAAAGAAAUAGCACAAAACCUAUAAAACACUAAAACAGAACUGUUUCCAUAAAAACCUAAUUUUAAAUAAUUAUAAAAAUCACCAAUUAAUUACUACUAAUAAAGAAAAGUCACAAAGAACCAGUAGCAAAAAGAAUCAUCUGAAAAAAUACUCCUAGCUCAAAUUAUAGGCGAUCUAGUGAUUUGAGCAAAUUCAUGAAAAUUCAAAUUCAAACUUUCAAAUCUAGUCAAACUUGAUAUCUACAGAAACUUCAUAAAGUUUCUAAUCUAAUGCAAAAAGAAUCAAAUUAAAAUUCUAAGAAUCCUAAUAGAUAUGAAUUUUCUAAAAUAAUAGAGCAGGUGUUGGCCGAAGACCAUUUUUCAGCCUCCUGGUGGCCGAAGAGGGACUCUUUGGCCAACUGUUGGCCGAAAAAUCCUUUUUGGCCAACGGUUGGGCGAAAAAUCCCUCUUCGGCCAACAAUAGGCCGAAAAGUCCCUCUUCGGCCAACAGAAGGCCGACGGGGUGAUACUUUUGAUUUUUCUGCAUUAGGGUGUAUAGUUUCCAAAUUUGCUAUAAAAAUCAUCAUAGUUUCAAAAAAAAUCUCAAGUUAUUCUUCCGUAGGCGAAUCAAAUGCUUACGUGUGAGUUCUCAGCCGUGGUGGUGCUUGUGGUUGGGCUGUGUGCUCCUGAUUGUGCAUGUCUUGGGUGGACCUUGGCAUCUCGACUAAGCUGUCAGAGUGUUGCGGUGGUGGCGGAGUGGUCAACUUGGACGAUGUGACCUUAAUCCAAUGAGAAAGGAUGGAGUUGUGUGGCGACUCGAAUGAAAUUCCUGCUUGUACUUAGUCGGUGCUGACGGCGAUGACGCUCGUGGGUGUCGUUCCCCUCCUUGGAGGCGUCGCCAAGAUGUGUCGGCAUCUCCCUCGCUCGCUCUCGGGAUUGGUAGUUGUCUUUGGGAGAAAGCCUACGUCCGAAAUUGAAUCGGCGCGAUGGUGGCGUUUUAACGUUGCUUCUUUGUUGGAAGCAUUGUGCUUGAAGACACGGUCUUGAGGUUUCGUGUUGAGCUGCUUCUGGUGCUCGCCGUUGUUCAAGAUGAUCUUCAACGGCGCAAUGUACGUCAUCGCCGGUGAGUCCAAGACAGUGGCAUUAGUGGACCGAUCAAGGUCCGCCAUCUACUUGCCACCUCCUCUUAGGCAUCAAGGGUGGAUGGUGCGUCGACAAGGCCAGAAGCGAAGUUCAGUCGGAGUUGAUGUUCUCUUCAAAGGUGAACGGUGUUGGUCGAGACGCGUUGAUGUUGCUCUGUCUUAGAUCGCUCUUUUUGCUUUGUACUUGUGUUGUCGAUGGUAGCUCUCUUCGGACUAGCCCUGGUGUGGAGUCUGCUAUGCUCGUUGUUCGCAACAAGUUAGUCAUCUUCUAUUUGAAAUUCCACCUUCUAUAAAGAUAUGAUAUGCAUUCACGUACUCUUGAAGAAAAAAUGCUUACGACGCCCAAGGCGUAUCGCGGCAUUGUCGACUACACAUGUCGCCCGAUUGACAAUUGCAUCUUCACUGUCUUGUGCUGUCAGCCCAUGCUCAUCCUUUGGCAUAGUUUAAAAAACCGAACCGAUAAGAUUGUUGGUUCAGAUUUUUAUCAAACAGACCGCCUUAUUGUUGAAAUUUGAUGCCUUCUAGUCAUGAAGCACGGUGAGCACUAGUGGCUUUGCACGCUCGCUUGAAACCGGGAGGUUACGUGCACCCUAUUUUUCUAGUCCGGUUUUAAUAUAUAGAAAACGACCGGUUUAGCCAAUUCAAUUGGUUUUCUUUGGUCCAUUGCAUGAACGGUCUUUUUGGCUUAAAAGACCAGCUGCUUCUAGUUUUCCAGUGGGACUGCCGGUCCCUUCCGGCAUUUUAAACUAUGCCUUUUGGGCACGGCUAUACCUCUCUUCUAGGGAGACCGAGGGGAAGCAUCGCGUGCCUCGCGUGAGUUGGGCCGGCCCAGGCGCGCAUGAGGCCACAACCUCGUUUUUUUUGGCCUUUUCACUUUUUGUUUUAGUUUUUCUUUUAUUUUUUCCUUUCUAUAUUUCAAAUAUUAAAAUAAGUAUAAUAACAAAAAUACUUUACAUGAUUUUUUUAAAAUGUUAAUCAAGCAUUUAAAAAAUGUUAAAUGUGUGCAGGGAAAAAAUUUCUCAUAUAUAUGAAAAUGUAUACAAAAAAUAUUCAAUGCGAGUGAAAGAAAAAUUUAAAAAUCUUAAUCCAAGCAUUUAAAAAAAUGUUAAACAAGAAUUUCAAAAAAUUAAUCAAGUAUUUGGAAAAUGUAAAUGUGUAUAGAAAAAUAUUGACGAUGUAUUAAAAUUUUGUUAAACUUGUAGUUGAAAAAUGUUAAAUGUGUAUAGAAAAAAUAUUGAUCAUGUAAGUUAAAAAUGUUAAACUUGUACUCGAAAAAUGUUAAUCAAGCUUUAAAAAAUGAUAAAUGUGUACAGAAAAAUCUUGACCAUGUAUUUAAAAAAUGUUAAAUGUGUUUGGAAAAAAUGAUGACCAUGUCUUAAAAAAUUGUUAACCUUGUAUUUGGAAAAUGUUAAAUGUGUAUUAGAAAAUUUAUUAGAUAUAGAGAAAAAAUGAUUAUAGAAGAAUAGUGAAAACUAAGAGAAAACUGAUGAAAAACAAGAAAGAAGCAAAAAAACAUAGAAAAAAGAAAGGAAAAAAGCCAAUAAAAAUCGAGAUAGUAACAAAUAAAACCAAAAGAAAAACAAGAAAAAUGAAAGAAAAACUCAAUGAAAACAAAGAAAGAAACGAAGAAAAUCAGUAGAAAAACAAAAACAAAAAAAC